rnacentral:rRNA from 1 species
UACAGUACCCAGCCUGGGCAAGGACCCGGGACAAGGAUGCAAACCAUACAUUGACCUUGGUCUUGCUGUAGCAAGGGUGGCUCGCUUAUAAGCCAGAUAUAGGCCUUGUACGGCUAUGGAGGUUUAGCCUCCUUGCUGCGCCUUGCCGAGAACGAGUGGGGAGUGCAGAGGGAGCCGCCGGGCGAAUAGAGGGAGAGAGCGGAGAGAGAGAGAGAGAGUAGGCUGUCCUUGUCCGUCCGCCGCCGCCGUCCUCCACUCGCCGCCGUCGCCCUUGGCCGUCCGCCGUCUCGACCUUCUUCCGCUCGCCGUCGUCCGCCACGGACGAGACGAACAUGAACAGGGACGGAGGCGUGGGUGGUAGCCGCGUGGUCCGUCAGCGGGGGAGGAGGAUGCGGAACUCAAGAACCGACGACCUGGUGAAGGAGCCGGCGUCUAGCCCGGUACUCGGCGUUCGAAGCGGGAAGUGGUCUUCUAGACGAGAAGGUACGGGUCAAGCUCGGAGAGGAAGGCAAAAAAGGGAGUCUAGCCUUUCUCGCCGCACUACGUUCGUAGUCGUUUCCGUGGCGACUCGACUACCGUAGCAGACGAGUGGCAGGCAAACUUCGUCACCCGAAAAUACGAAGGACACGUUCGCGGCCGUUCACCCAAUAUAACCACAACCAAGUUCCAACCACCGGACUGCCACCGCCUAGACCACAAGAAGGGGCUGUUGCUGCCAUCCUACGCCGUUUUAAUCUAGGUCCAACCGUAAUUUUGACCUAGGUCCAACCGCUGCCUUGGAAGGAGUUGACACCGCGGUGUAGCGGUUCACAGAUAAAACAUCCAGACCUAGGUCCGUACGCGAACCUAAAACUAAACGACCAUAAGACAGAUAAGGGGGCCACACGCAGAGCCGCUAGCUACCGCCAAAGUCUAGACCAACCAGCAUCCCUGUAGUUCCCUGAAUAAACAUUAUAUAAGAAUAAAUUCUAAGAAAGACGUAUCAAAAACCUGUGGGUAUCACGGGAUCAGAAAAG